GCGGGAGCUGGCACUGUGAAGCUCAGGCAUGGGAGUCAGCUGAGCAGCUCACCAAACAGAAGCAUGAAGAAAAUUUCAACCAAAAAAUUAGAAAGUUGCCUUGGAAUAUCCUUUAGGCUCCUUCACAGAAAGAAGGUCACCCUCCUGCCAUAAAUCCUGGACCAGCUAGAGGAGGAAUCACUUGACUGAUGAAGAAAUGGAAGGAGUGCAUUGUGAACAUUGGAGGCCGUCCUAAUUGCAGGACCAGCUGGAGAAGAUAGCCUAAAAUAAAUUUCAGUCAUACAGGAAUUUUUGAAAGAAAAGGAUACCUUCCUUUCCCAACUUAGGCUCUUCUGCUAACUUAUUGUAACAUCAUCAUGUCCUUAAAACAUCAAAUAUGAGAGCCAAAUUAUACUCAGCAGUGUCUUAGGCAACAACC
rnacentral:lncRNA from 1 species